rnacentral:lncRNA from 1 species
AUCAAAAAAUAAAAUACAGGGGGCCGACCUGAUGGUGUCAUGGUUAAAUUCGUGCACUCCACUUUGGUGACCCACUGUUCGUGGGUUCAGAUCCUGGGCAUGGACCUUACACACUGCUCAUCAAACCAUGCUGUGGCAGUGUCCCACAUACAAAAUAAAGGAGGAUUGGCAACACAUAUUAGCUCAGUGCCAAUCUUCCUUGCCAAAAAAUAAAUAAAAUAAAAUAUAUAGGAAUAAUCUAGUAAAAGAGAUGCACAAUGUCUACACAGUAGCCUAUAAACCAUUAAAGAAAACUCAAAUAUGUGACCUAGAUUUUUUUCCUAGAUUGGAAGACUUGAUGUUAGCGUAAAGAUGCCAGUGCUCCCCACACUGAUCUGGAUUCAACACACUUAAGAGUGUUUUAAUUUUAAAAUUUAAUUCUUUUUAUCGAAGCAUAGAAAUAGAACCAGAAUAGGGCUGCUUUUUUGAAUUUCCAGUGUUUCAUCUUUGUUAUUUUGGCCUUUGAGGAUGGCAGAAAUAAUAGUUAAAUAAAUUAGGUUAACAAAAGAAAAAUAAAUGGAGGGAAAAAAUGGAGAGGGAAGUUUCUGAAAUGAUAGUAAUGUUCUAAAUCUUAAUAGGAGUUUGAGUUACUGAGGUUUAUGCAUUUGUCAAAAGUCAUCAAAUGUAUAUUUAAAAUCUGUGCAUUUCAUUAUAUUUAUAUUUUACCUCAAAGGAAAAAACACAGAAAAUAAAUACUGAUCUGAAUAUUAGUUAAUGUUGUGCAUCCUGAACUCUUUAGGGGAAAGUGUAUUGAUUUAUGCAGUUUACUUUGGAAUGCAUCAAAAAAUAAGAUGGAUAGAUAGGUGGUAAAGCAAGUAUAAAAAUAUGUUAAUGGUAGACCUAGGCAGUGGGUAUACAAAGCUCGCUGUAAAAAUCUUUCAACUGACACGGAUUCUCUCCUUGACCAAACUCGAGCCAGGCUCUUCCAGAGCCCUUCCUUGACUUGGCCUCAACCUCGGCCUAUAAAGACUUGGACAAAUACUGACAUGGUUUCUAAGAGCUCAAGGCUGCUUCCCUAGGAUCACUCUGCCCCCUAAAGUGCCUGCCCGAGAA